UACGAAGGGGGCUAGCGUUGUUCGGAUUUACUGGGCGUAAAGCGCACGUAGGCGGAUCGAUCAGUCAGGGGUGAAAUCCCAGAGCUCAACUCUGGAACUGCCUUUGAUACUGUCGAUCUGGAGUAUGGAAGAGGUGAGUGGAAUUCCGAGUGUAGAGGUGAAAUUCGUAGAUAUUCGGAAGAACACCAGUGGCGAAGGCGGCCUGGCUGGGCAGUUGCUGACACUGAGGCGCGACAGCGUGGGGAGCAAACAGG
rnacentral:rRNA from 1 species